rnacentral:rRNA from 1 species
GAUGAACGCUGGCGGCGUGCCUAACACAUGCAAGUCGAACGGGGGCGCCGAGGCGGCAGGAUUUCGGUCCGCGCCGCGCGGCGCCCCAGUGGCGGACGGGUGAGUAACGCGUGGGCAACCUGCCUCGCACUGGGGGAUAACACUUAGAAAUAGGUGCUAACACCGCAUAGCGGGCGGGGGCGCAUGCCCCUGCCCUGAAAACCCAGGUGGUGCGAGAUGGGCCCGCGUCUGAUUAGCUGGUUGGCAGGGUAACGGCCUACCAAGGCGACGAUCAGUAGCCGGCCUGAGAGGGUGGACGGCCACAUUGGGACUGAGACACGGCCCAG